rnacentral:rRNA from 1 species
UCUGGCAACAAUGGCGAGAAGGUCACACCCGUUCCCAUACCGAACACGGAAGUUAAGCUUCUCAGCGCCGAUGGUAGUUGGGAUGCGAGUCCCUGUGAGAGUAGGACAUUGCCAGGC